rnacentral:rRNA from 1 species
UACGUAGGGUGCAAGCGUUAAUCGGAAUUACUGGGCGUAAAGCGUGCGCAGGCGGUUGUGCAAGACAGAUGUGAAAUCCCCGGGCUCAACCUGGGAAUUGCAUUUGUGACUGCACGGCUAGAGUGUGUCAGAGGGGGGUAGAAUUCCACGUGUAGCAGUGAAAUGCGUAGAUAUGUGGAGGAAUACCGAUGGCGAAGGCAGCCCCCUGGGAUAACACUGACGCUCAUGCACGAAAGCGUGGGGGAGCAAACAGG